AAGAUCUUCAAACUUGAGACGAAAAAUGAAAAACUGACGAAGAAUGAAGCUAUUACUUUCGCCAUUCUUUGACCCUACUUUUUGACACGGAAAUUGAAAUUCGAAAAUCCAUCUAUAAUAUCAUCAAUAAGUACAUAACAAGAGAAUUAGCCAUGGGUUUUACAGCUAUGAAGAUAAUAACAAAUAAAUUACUUUUCAUGGACUUUUACAUGUGACGCUGAUUGUAAAAAAAUUAAGUGCACUGUGGAUAAAGUCUGUUCUCAUCUGGGAACAGUCUACACUAUUUUCAGAGAUUGGGAUGGCAAACGACAGACGAGGC